ensembl:lncRNA
UGAAACGGUUAUUUGAAGUAUCUUUUUGUGCAUCUCCUCAUCAGAUUACUUGCAGUUUGGGGAACGACAACCUGCCGAUAGUCCAACAGCUUUGAGUUAUUUUUCCCCAGAGGUGAAUGAAAAUUGAAGGUUGAAUAGCAACAGGGGCCUGUACCAUUGUCUAAGGAAUAAGUAUAAUGACGAGAGUUGAGAGGGCAAAUCAACCUUCCAGGAAGAAAACACACAAACAUUUUAAAGAUCACCUGAAACCACAAACUCUAUAAGAUUCUACUCUAAAAAGAUUUAGGGAUCUGGUUUGCGCUGUUAAUAAAAGCUACUUUCUUAUCUGUGCAAUAAGACCGCAUGCGUGCCCUGUGUGUAUAUUGCAUACGUGUGUGUUUCUGCAGUGUAAGCACACGCUGUCCUCCAUCUGCUGUUUGAUAGAGACUGUUUCCUUUCCUGUGCAGCCAGCCAACCAGCCAGCCUUCCUGUACUGCUCUGCUCCAGAGCGGAAAUGGGAACAAGACUGCCACGCACUCCUGACAAAAACCCUGGAUAAGAUACGUUCAGACAGAUGGGAACAGACAAUGACUUUGUCACCCAUUUGAACACAACAACACAGUCUCCUCUCUUUUCUCUUUCCUUCCACCUUUUCUUCCGGCUAUGUUUUCCCGUCUACUGUAUUCGGCAGUGAACAUGUGUGGUAACACCAGUUUGUGUAUGAAUACAAACCGCAGCGUUUCUUAUUCCAAAAGGCUGCAGCAUGCAUGGUCACAUUAAAGCCAGUUUCAAUACUUUACAUAACUGAGCAGUGUCGCUACGGUUUCAAACCACCGUCCAACUUCCUGUUUCUUGGUCCUGGUUACCAGUUGCCACAGACAACAAGCUCUACCCGAGUAGGCCAAUUGAGGAAGUGACACAAACUUGUGAUGAAAACGUCCAGCGACAAACAGCGCUGUGCAAAUCAAAAGUAGCUGUGUGUGAAAAUGUAACCUGCAAAAAAGACUUCGAGUGUGAAGUUAAAACAGCUCAUAACAGCAGUAAAUCACAUUACAUUGAUGCCACCUUAUGUACCGAGAGACCGCAGUGUGCUAAAUCACCUGGAUGAGUGUAGAUUCAAUGUAUGCUGAUUUUCCGAUCCAUAAUAACGGCAGGUCACAUGCUUCUGAAAGGGUCCAGCUGUCACAUUGUCGACGUCUUCAGAGGGCGGUUGGACAGAAGCUGGAGGUGGGGGAGUGAAGUCCAGACGAUCCGUGUGGCUCCAGGCGGCGAUGCAGUUCCUCUCUUGUAGGGAGAAACGGUAUGAAGCAAGAGUAACGAGAGAGCAGUUAAGAGGGUGGCUUCCUCAAAGGAUGAGUAUGUGAAGUAGUAAAGAUGCCCCUGAGGGUUUUCAAACACACCGCACACGAGUUAAACGUCAAACCUACUGAUGCCAUUAGGCUUUGAUGGAAAUGCACAAGAAAGUAUGAAAAUUACAUCCGUCUCGGCCGAGGAAUAUUGAGGAUGGCAAAAAGUUGAAGAAGGCGCCCAAGGGUGAUAUGCAGAUGGUCAAAGAAAUAUAACCACGGUGAAGAAAUUACUUUAAAUUAGUCAUGAGACUCAAAUUAGUCGAUUUUUUGAGGGGUAACAUUUUACAGAGCGAAUUAAGUCUUCCAAAUGCAGCAGACAGCAUCUCCUCGUCC